GCCUAAUGCCAUGCCACCCUGAACAAGCCCAAUCCCGUCUGAUCUCGGAAGCUAAGCAGGGUCGGGCCUGGUUACUACUUGGAUGGGAGAACACCUAGGAAGACCAGGUGCUGUAGGCG
rnacentral:rRNA from 1 species